AGUGAACGCUGGCGGCAGGCCUAACACAUGCAAGUCGAACGGCAGCACGGCAGUAGCAAUACUGUGGGUGGCGAGUGGCGGACGGGUGAGGAAUACAUGGGAAUCUACCCUGUCGUGGGGGAUAACGUAGGGAAACUUACGCUAAUACCGCAUACGACCGAGAGGUGAAAGCGGCGGACCGCAAGGCGUAGCGCGAUUGGAUGAGCCCGUGUCGGAUUAGCUAGUUGGCGGGGUAAAGGCCCACCAAGGCGACGAUCCGUAGCUGGUCUGAGAGGAUGAUCAGCCACACUGGAACUGAGACACGGUCCAGACCCCUACGGGAGGCAGCAGUGGGGAAUAUUGGACAAUGGGCGCAAGCCUGAUCCAGCCAUGCCGCGUGAGUGAAGAAGGCCUUCGGGUUGUAAAGCUCUUUUGUCCGGAAAGAAAAGCUCUCGGUUAAUACCCGGGGGUGAUGACGGUACCGGAAGAAUAAGCACCGGCUAACUUCGUGCCAGCCGCCGCAGUAA
rnacentral:rRNA from 1 species